UACGGGGGGGGCCAGCGUUGUUCGGACUUACUGGGCGUAAAGGGCUCGUAGGUGGCCAACUAAGUCGGACGUGAAAUCCCUCAGCUUAACUGGGGAACUGCGUCCGAUACUGGAUGGCUCGAGUUUGGGAGAGGGAUGCGGAAUUCCAGGUGUAGCGGUGAAAUGCGUAGAUAUCUGGAGGAACACCGGUGGCGAAGGCGGCAUCCUGGACCAACACUGACACUGAGGAGCGAAAGCCAGGGGAGCAAACGGG
rnacentral:rRNA from 1 species